AUGGCUUCAGCUGAAGCAGGGGAAUCCAGCAUGGCUGCGUUUGUGGCGGAAAGGAACGAAUCUGUCUCCUCGUGGGGCAUUUCUAACUACCCUGAUUCCGCUGUUUUUGGCAUCGAUUCGGAGAGGCUGAGCGUCCUACGAGAGGUUGUCGAGGACGACCCCAGCGGCGGAUUCGCUGAUUUGUUGGAUUCUGUCGACGUUAGGACAGAAACAAACACCACGGAUCUAGAGGAGAAUAGGGCUUCGAGGAUGGAUAAUAGAUACGCGUCCCUUGAUGACAAAGUCGGGUGGGUUACAAGGAACAGGAGGGUUGCAGUGCCAGACGAGAGAGCAACAAGUGCUGACAGGGUGACAGCCCUGGAAACAGCACUGACAGGAUUUGCUGAAAGGAAAACAGACACCGUAGUGACGCCAUCAGUUGGACUGACGUUCGAUUCUAUAAACGAGGCCUACGAUUUUUACAAUCUUUAUUCCUGGGAGACAGGGUUUGGCAUAAGAUACGCAAAGAGCAGAACCAAUGUAAAAGGCACGAGAUGCAUGCAGGAGUUCGUGUGUUGCUGCUCGGGCAAGCCAAAAGAGGCGAACUCAACAUCAUCACGUUGUCAAUGCCAAGCUAUGAUAAGACUUUUGCGGACAGAGGACAAUGGAUGGCAUAUCGACAAAUAUACAAGAGAGCUAGUAUCUCAGCUUAGAGAGAACAAUGUGAACCUGAGCAAAGUUUACAACAUUCUUGCAACUUUUUUUGGGAGGGUUGAAAAUGUGCCAUUCACCAAAAGGUGCCUGAGGACACUGUGUGGCAAGCUGAGCAGGGAGCAGGCCGACGACGAUGUACGGAAGACGAUGGCAAUUUUUUCAGAGAUGAAAGUACAAGACAGCGAUUUCACCUACAAUGUUCAGGUGGAUGAAGAAAGUAGAAUACGCACUCUCAUGUGGACGAAUGGGCGUAGCAAAAAGCAGUACCACCAUUUUGGCGAUGUGGUGACGUUCGACACCACAUACAAGACUAAUCUGUACGAUAUGCCAUUCGGUAUUUUUGUUGGCGUGAAUAACCACUUUCAAAGCGUGUUGUAUGCUGGUGUGCUCAUGCGAGACGAGACGGUCGACACUUUCAAAUGGAUUUUUGAUGAGUUUGUUAAGAUGAUGGGAGGAAAAAGACCAAUUACCAUUUUGACAGACCAAGCCAGGGCAAUGGAGGUCGCUAUUGCGGACGUAUAUCCAGAUGCGACACACAGAUGGUGCAAGUGGCACAUCCUCAAGAAGGCCAAAGAGAGCCUGGGGUCUAAUUACACCAAGAAGUCUGAUUUCAGGGCAGAAUUUCACAAGCUGGUUCACGAAAUGCUCACUAUCGAGGAGUUUGAGGACGGGUGGGCAGCGUUGCUUGAGAAGUAUUCACUGAAGAAUAACACAUACCUGAUGCAAAUUUACAAGACAAGACAGAAAUGGGCCAAGCCAUACUUUGCAGGGAAAUUCUGUGCGAGGCAAACCAGCACCGGGAGGAGUGAGAGCGCAAAUCACAUGUUGAAAUAG
rnacentral:rRNA from 1 species